rnacentral:rRNA from 1 species
AACGAACGCUGGCGGCAGGCUUAACACAUGCAAGUCGAGCGCCCCGCAAGGGGAGCGGCAGACGGGUGAGUAACACGUGGGAACGUACCCUUUACUACGGAAUAGCUCCGGGAAACUGGAAUUAAUACCGUAUGUGCCCUUCGGGGGAAAGAUUUAUCGGUAAAGGAUCGGCCCGCGUUGGAUUAGCUAGUUGGUGGGGUAAAGGCCUACCAAGGCGACGAUCCAUAGCUGGUCUGAGAGGAUGAUCAGCCACAUUGGGACUGAGACACGGCCCAAACUCCUACGGGAGGCAGCAGUGGGGAAUAUUGGACAAUGGGCGCAAGCCUGAUCCAGCCAUGCCGCGUGAGUGAUGAAGGCCCUAGGGUUGUAAAGCUCUUUCACCGGUGAAGAUAAUGACGGUAACCGGAGAAGAAGCCCCGGCUAACUCCGUGCCAGCAGCCGCGGU